GGAGUACAAGAUUGUGAUGCCAUUAGGAUUAUUCUUUGUAUUUUGUCGAUUUAGUACACCUAUUAUUUUUGAAAACUAUGUUGUCCGUCGUCUGGUUGAGUUUUGAGCAGCUCUAUUUAAUUCCUCAAAAUUUGUUCAAGGCACAAACAAAAAACCCCUAAAUCUACGUCAGAUUUCUUAAAAUUUACCGAAACUCUGAUUUCUACACUCCAACCCUUUUAGUCGCUCACUCUCGUCGAUUAAUUAUACUGUUCUGCAGUGGGUUCGAGUUAAAGUUGUGGUUACGCCUCAGAAAUUUGUGAAUUUGGUUAACUGUGAAGCAAAUUUGAAGCUUUUGGUGCACUAUGAACGCUACCAUUAUUGACCCGCUACAGGGUGACUUCCCUGAAGUGAUAGAGGAGUAUUUGGAGCACGGAGUUAUGAAAUGUGUCGCCUUUAAUCGCCGUGGAAACCUUCUUGCUGCUGGGUGCUCUGACGGAAGUUGUAUCAUAUGGGAUUUUGAAACCAGAGUCAUUGUUAAAGAAUUCAAAGAUAAGGAAUGCGUUGCCGCAAUAACAAGUGUUUGUUGGUCCAAGUAUGGCCACCGCAUACUGGUGUCAGCUGCAGAUAAGACAUUGAUUCUUUGGGAUGUUGUCAGAGGAGAGAGAAUAGCUCGAACUGUCUUAAAACAAACGUCUUUGCAUGCACGUUUGCAUCCUGGUUCAUCUACUCCGUCAACUUGCUUAGCUUGUCCUCUUUCAUCAGCCCCCAUGAUCGUCGACUUACUCAGAGAAACCACAAUUGUGCUUCCUGUGUCAUUAUCUGAUACGGGGAAUGGUGCGACCCCUCCAUUACGGAAUAAAUUUUCAGAUGGAUCAGCUCCCUUUACACCUACUGCUGCAUGCUUCAACAAGUAUGGCGAUUUGGUAUAUGUAGGAAAUUCUAAAGGAGAGAUACUGAUAAUUGAUAGUACAAGCAUUGCAAUACGUGCUAUAGUUUCUGUCCCAGGCGGUACAGUUAUAAAGAAUAUUGUAUUUGACAGAAGUGGACAAUAUCUUCUGACAAACUCAAAUGAUAGAAUCAUCAGAAUCUAUGAAAACCUUUUGCCCCUCAAAAGUGGGCUUGCUGCACUGGAUAAAGCAAGCCAUGAGUUUGCUGAGCAAGAUCAGGAGGAAAAGCUAAAAUCUGCAGGUUCAAGGUCCCUGGCUCUUUUCCGAGAGUUUCAGGAUUCAAUCACCAGAGUGCACUGGAAAGCACCAUGCUUUAGUGGCGAUGGGGAGUGGGUUGUUGGAGGUUCUGCUAGCAAAGGAGAGCAUAAGAUCUAUAUAUGGGACAGGGCUGGGCAUCUGGUAAAAAUUCUUGAGGGUCCAAAAGAAGCAUUAGUAGAUCUGACAUGGCAUCCUGUUAAACCUGUAGUUGUUUCUGUCUCCUUGACUGGCUUGGUUUAUAUCUGGGCAAAGGAUUAUACCGAGAACUGGAGUGCAUUUGCUCCUGAUUUUAAAGAGCUUGAGGAAAAUGAGGAGUAUGUGGAACGAGAAGAUGAGUUUGACUUGGUGCCUGAAACAGAAAAAGUGAAAGAUUUAGGUAUCAACGAAGAUGAAGACAUUGAUAUUUUGAACACUGAGGGAGAUUCUGCCUUCAGUGAUUCAGACAUGUCACAGGACGAAAUACGCUUCUUACCCCCUGAUCCAUGUCCUGAUGUUCCAGAGAUGGAAGAUGGGCUUGUUGUAAAUACUUCAAAGGAGGGGGAAAUCAGUGAGACUGAAUCACCUUUUUCCGAGGAGGCAGGGCAAAAUGGUCAUCUAACAAAUCAUGAAUCCAGUCCCCUUGAAGAAGAUACAGGAGGAAUGCGCUUAAAAAGAAAGAGGAUGCCUUCAGAGAAGUUUAUGGAUUUUGAAACAGAAGAUAUUAAGAUGCCACCAUCAAAGUCAAAACCAUAAUGGUUAUGUGUAAAGAUACUACCCCGACGAAUAUACUUGGGAGUUGGGAAGAAAAUUUAAUUGAUGACAAAUCAGUGGCUGCUGGAAGGAAUCUCAUGACUUCAUUGGCGCACGACAAUUUUCAUAAGUGAUGAUAUAGGGUGGACUUAAAUGAACCAUAUGAAACUCCAGAUAUUCUUACACCAUGGAAUCUCCAUGUGCACAGUAAUGGGGGAUAUCUGUGUCUUCGUUUUUCUCCAAUUUCAUUGUCUUGGCCUCAGGUAAUUCAGAACUUCGCGUGCUCUCCUUGUGUACCUUCUCUUUUGUUUUGUCGUCCAGUCUCUCUGAUGCAACGUGCUUUUCUAUUGUUUCACUGCUUUCAUUUUUCACAUCAUUCUUGGAAGUUAUAUUUCCAGUACUUCUCAUUGGAGUAAAGCUUCGGCCUCUUUGAUCACCAUCUCUAUCAUGUGCAUCCCUGUCACUGCUUUCCUUUUUUUCGGUUUGGGAAAUUAUGUUUUCUAGAUUCACAUCUCUAACAUCUGGAGUACUUUCCUUUUGAGGGGAGGGUUGCUUUCUCGUAGGAAGAGCGCCUUCUUUACCAACUUUCUCUCUUGGGACUGUAAUGCUAAGUAUCCCUCCAUGGAACUUGGCACGAGCCGAAUUCAUUUCACCAUUUUCUGGGACUUGAAAGUCCUCCAGAAAGCGACUCCAUUUGUUGCCACCUACAAGGCGUUCCCCGCGAACCCUAAUGGUGUUCCGUCCUUCCAUGCUCACCUUGAUCUGCUUCUUCAUGAAACCUGCAAAAGAAAAGGAAGAUAAAUAUUGAGAAUAUGAGAUUCAUGAUCUAGCUGCCAUUCAGACUCCGGCUUGAAAUCUUCAUAGACUGACCGGACCACGCCUGGUCUUGUUCCCCGUCUAGAACCAGCAGCACCGCCACCUCUCGGACUCAUUGCCAUCUCAUCUGCAACUAGUUUCUUCUUAACGUGGUAGAUUUAUCUUGAACUCUAUAAUCAACUGUAUGUGUGUGUGUGUGUGUGUGUGACUUGCUCAUGCAUGGAUUUUACACCCAUAUAUAUAUAUAUAUAUGAGCUUUGUAGGUGUAGUUUCUUGA